GACAGAGGGUGCAAACGUUGCUCGGAAUCACUGGGCGUAAAGGGCGUGUAGGCGGGAAGGCAAGUCAGAUGUGAAAUCCCUGGGCUCAACCCAGGAACUGCAUUUGAAACUCCCUUUCUUGAGUGUCGGAGAGGAAAGCGGAAUUCCUGGUGUAGAGGUGAAAUUCGUAGAUAUCAGGAGGAACACCGGUGGCGAAGGCGGCUUUCUGGACGAUCACUGACGCUGAGACGCGAAAGCGUGGGGAGCAAACAGG
rnacentral:rRNA from 1 species